rnacentral:rRNA from 1 species
CGAACGGCAGCACGGGUGCUUGCACCUGGUGGCGAGUGGCGAACGGGUGAGUAAUACAUCGGAACAUGUCCUGUAGUGGGGGAUAGCCCGGCGAAAGCCGGAUUAAUACCGCAUACGAUCUACGGAUGAAAGCGGGGGACCUUCGGGCCUCGCGCUAUAGGGUUGGCCGAUGGCUGAUUAGCUAGUUGGUGGGGUAAAGGCCUACCAAGGCGACGAUCAGUAGCUGGUCUGAGAGGACGACCAGCCACACUGGGACUGAGACACGGCCCAGACUCCUACGGGAGGCAGCAGUGGGGAAUUUUGGACAAUGGGCGAAAGCCUGAUCCAGCAAUGCCGCGUGUGUGAAGAAGGCCUUCGGGUUGUAAAGCACUUUUGUCCGGAAAGAAAUCCUUGGUUCUAAUAUAGCCGGGGGAUGACGGUACCGGAAGAAUAAGCACCGGCUAACUACGUGCCAGCAGCCGCGGUAAUACGUAGGGUGCGAGCGUUAAUCGGAAUUACUGGGCGUAAAGCGUGCGCAGGCGGUUUGCUAAGACCGAUGUGAAAUCCCCGGGCUCAACCUGGGAACUGCAUUGGUGACUGGCAGGCUAGAGUAUGGCAGAGGGGGGUAGAAUUCCACGUGUAGCAGUGAAAUGCGUAGAGAUGUGGAGGAAUACCGAUGGCGAAGGCAGCCCCCUGGGCCAAUACUGACGCUCAUGCACGAA